rnacentral:rRNA from 1 species
CGUAGGAUGCAAGCGUUGUCCGGAUUUACUGGGCGUAAAGCGCGCGCAGGCGGCAAGGUAAGUAAGGUGUGAAAUCUGUCGGCUCAACCGGGAGGGUGCACUUUAGACUGCUUUGCUUGAGGUCGGUAGAGGGGGGUGGAAUUGCUGGUGUAGCGGUGAAAUGCGUAGAGAUCAGCAGGAACACCCGUGGCGAAGGCGGCCCCCUGGGCCGUACCUGACGCUGAGGCGCGAAGGCUAGGGGAGCGAACGGGAUUAGAUACCCCGGUAGUCCUAGCAGUAAACGAUGGCCACUAGGUGUGGGGGGUGUUGACCCCUUCCGUGCCGUAGCUAACGCAUUAAGUGGCCCGCCUGGGGAGUACGGUCGCAAGACUA